CAGCCGCCGCGGUAAUACGUAGGGUGCAAGCGUUAAUCGGAAUUACUGGGCGUAAAGCGUGCGCAGGCGGUUGUGUAAGACAGGUGUGAAAUCCCCGGGCUUAACCUGGGAAUUGCAUUUGUGACUGCACGACUAGAGUGUGUUAGAGGGGGGUGGAAUUCCACGUGUAGCAGUGAAAUGCGUAGAUAUGUGGAGGAACACCAAUGGCGAAGGCAGCCCCCUGGGAUAACACUGACGCUCAUGCACGAAAGCGUGGGGAGCAAACAGGAUUAGAUACCCCCGUAGUCCCUGUCUCUUAUAC
rnacentral:rRNA from 1 species